rnacentral:rRNA from 1 species
GGGACAACCCGCCGAAAGGCGGGCUAAACCCGCGUACAUGCCACCGGGGCAUCCCGGAGGCAGGAAAGGCUUCGGCCGGACAGGGAUGGGCAUGCGGCGCAUUAGGCAGUAGGCGGGGUAACGGCCCACCUAACCGACGAUGCGUAGGGGUUCUGAGAGGAAGGUCCCCCACACUGGUACUGAGACACGGACCAGACUCCUACGGGAGGCAGCAGUGAGGAAUAUUGGUCAAUGGUCGGGAGACUGAACCAGCCAAGCCGCGUGAGGGAUGAAGGUACAGAGUAUCGUAAACCUCUUUUGUCAGGGAACAAAGGCGGGGACGUGUCCCCGGAUGAGUGUACCUGAAGAAAAAGCAUCGGCUAACUCCGUGCCAGCAGCCGCGGUAAUACGGAGGAUGCGAGCGUUAUCCGGAUUUAUUGGGUUUAAAGGGUGCGCAGGCGGUCUGUUAAGUCAGCGGUCAAAGCCCGGGGCUCAACCCCGGCCCGCCGUUGAAACUGGCAGUCUCGAGUUGGAGAGAAGUAUGCGGAAUGCGCGGUGUAGCGGUGAAAUGCAUAGAUAUCGCGCAGAACUCCGAUUGCGAAGGCAGCAUGCCGGCUCCACACUGACGCUGAGGCACGAAAGCGUGGGUAUCGAACAGGAUUAGAUACCCUGGUAGUCCACGCAGUAAACGAUGAAUGCUGGCUGUCCGGG